ACAUGGCUCGGAUUGACUUGAUCAUGCCUUCGCUUUUUUCCGCCCCACCUCCGAGGUAGGUGAAGAGGAGCGAGCUCUCAUUUCCGACCUCAGAUCGGACGAGAUUACCCGCUGAAUUUAAGCAUAUCACUAAGCGGAGGAAAAGAAACU
rnacentral:rRNA from 1 species